GCGUCCGGGCGGCCGCCCGAAACAAAACCAAACCUUUCUUUGAAAUCUAUAAUCGAAGCUCUAAAGAGCUGAGAAAAUAUAAGAAUCCUAGAGAUUCCGUUCUAAGCGGUGGAUCACUAGGCUCGCGGGUCGAUGAAGAACGGGGCCAGCCCCGAGAAUAAGUGCGAAUUGCAGACACAAAGAGCAUCGACUUUUCGAACGCAUAUUGCGGUAUCGGGCCUGCUCGAUACCACGCCUAUCUGAGGGUCGAAUAA
rnacentral:rRNA from 1 species